GUGCCAGCAGCCGCGGUAAAACGUAGGAGGCUAGCGUUAUCCGGAUUCAUUGGGCGUAAAGCGUGUGCAGGCGGAGUUCUGAGCUGGACGUAAAAUCUCCUGGCCUAACUAGGAGGGGCCGUUCAGUACUGGAGCACUUGAGGUUAGAAGAGGGGAGUAGAAUUCCCGGUGUAGCAGUGGAAUGCGUAGAUAUCUGGAGGAAUACCCGUGGCGAAGGCGGCUCCCUGGGCUGCACCUGACGCUGAGACACGAAAGCGAGGGUAGCAAACGGGAUUAGAUACCCCGGUAGUCCUAGCUGUAA
rnacentral:rRNA from 1 species